UACGGAGGGUGCAAGCGUUAUCCGGAUUCACUGGGUUUAAAGGGUGCGUAGGUGGGCAAGUAAGUCAGUGGUGAAAUCUCCGGGCUUAACCCGGAAACUGCCAUUGAUACUAUUUGUCUUGAAUACUGUGGAGGUCAGCGGAAUAUGGUCAUGUAGCGGUGAAAUGCUUAGAUAUGACAUAGAACACCAAUUGCGAAGGCAGCUGGCUACACAAAUAUUGACACUGAGGCACGAAAGCGUGGGGAUCAAACAGG
rnacentral:rRNA from 1 species